rnacentral:rRNA from 1 species
UGGGGAAUUUUGGACAAUGGGCGCAAGCCUGAUCCAGCCAUGCCGCGUGAGUGAAGAAGGCCUUCGGGUUGUAAAGCUCUUUCGGACGGGAAGAAAUGGCUGGCUCUAACAUAGCCUGUCGAUGACGGUACCGUAAGAAGAAGCACCGGCUAACUACGUGCCAGCAGCCGCGGUAAUACGUAGGGUGCGAGCGUUAAUCGGAAUUACUGGGCGUAAAGCGUGCGCAGGCGGUUUUGUAAGACAGAUGUGAAAUCCCCGGGCUUAACCUGGGAACUGCGUUUGUGACUGCAAGGCUGGAGUACGGCAGAGGGGGGUGGAAUUCCACGUGUAGCAGUGAAAUGCGUAGAGAUGUGGAGGAACACCGACGGCGAAGGCAGCCCCCUGGGCCUGUACUGACGCUCAUGCACGAAAGCGUGGGGAGCAAACA